rnacentral:rRNA from 1 species
AACGAACGCUAUCGGUAUGCUUAACACAUGCAAGUCGAACGGACUAAUUGGGGCUUGCUCCAAUUAGUUAGUGGCAGACGGGUGAGUAACACGUGGGAAUCUGCCCAUCAGUACGGAAUAACUUUUAGAAAUAAAAGCUAAUACCGUAUAUUCUCUACGGAGGAAAGAUUUAUCGCUGAUGGAUGAGCCCGCGUCAGAUUAGGUAGUUGGUGGGGUAAUGGCCUACCAAGCCUACGAUCUGUAGCUGGUCUGAGAGGAUGAUCAGCCACACUGGGACUGAGACACGGCCCAGAC